rnacentral:rRNA from 1 species
UGGGGAAUAUUGGACAAUGGGCGAAAGCCUGAUCCAGCCAUGCCGCGUGUGUGAAGAAGGCCCUCGGGUUGUAAAGCACUUUCAGUGGGGAAGAAAGCCUCGGGAUUAAUACUUCCGAGGAAGGACAUCACCCACAGAAGAAGCACCGGCUAACUCCGUGCCAGCAGCCGCGGUAAUACGGAGGGUGCGAGCGUUAAUCGGAAUUACUGGGCGUAAAGCGCGCGUAGGCGGUCUGAUCAGCCGGUUGUGAAAGCCCCGGGCUCAACCUGGGAACGGCAUCCGGAACUGUCAGGCUAGAGUGCAGGAGAGGAAGGUAGAAUUCCCGGUGUAGCGGUGAAAUGCGUAGAGAUCGGGAGGAAUACCAGUGGCGAAGGCGGCCUUCUGGACUGACACUGACACUGAGGUGCGAAAGCGUGGGUAGCAAACA